rnacentral:rRNA from 1 species
CGCAUCUGUGCAUGCAGCAUAUCAAUAAGCGGAGGAAAAGAAACUAACAAGGAUUCCCCUAGUAACGGCGAGUGAAGCGGGAAGAGCUCAAAUUUGAAAUCUUAAAGGGUUUCCCUUUACGAAUUGUAGUUUAAAGAAGUGUUUUCUGUUGAGGUUUUGGUAAAAGUUCUUUGGAAUAGGACAUCAUAGAGGGUGAGAAUCCCGUAUUUGACCUUUACUUUCAACUUUGUGAUACACUUUCAAAGAGUCGGAUUGUUUGGGAAUGCAGUCCAAAAUGGGUGGUAAAUUUCAUCUAAAGCUAAAUAUUGGCGAGAGACCGAUAGCGAACAAGUACCGUGAGGGAAAGAUGAAAAGAACUUUGAAAAGAGAGUUAAACAGUACGUGAAAUUGUCAAAAGGGAAGCGUUUGACACCAGUGUUGUUUUUCUGAAAAUCAAUUAAAGAACUGUUUAUGCUAAGUUGUUUAGACUUUAUCAGCUAACUGUUUAGUUUUGAGCUUUUCUUUAAUGCACUUUUCAGUUAACAAGUCAACAUCAAUUUCUUUUGCUGUAAAAAAGCUUGAGGAAGGUGGCUUGAGAUUCGUCUUAAGUGUUUAUAGCCUCUUGCCUAUGCAGUCGGAGAGAUUGAGGUCUGCAGCGUAGAUCCUUCGGGGCUAAAUGCAUUUGUGCUAAGUUAUAGCAUUUCAUAGACAACUUGUUGACUAUGAUUUGUCUUGUAGCUUACUCGCUUAUGUUAUUCUACCUACGCUUAGGAUGUUGACAGCAGUAUAGACUGU